AAAAUGAACCAUGUGUUGAUUGAUUCGUAUUAAUUAUUUCCUAUAGGGAGUUCCAGAUCGGGUUUGUCUUGGUCUUAUCCCAUCAAGUGAGGGUAGCUGGCUUACUGCUGUGAGGGCAUUAAGGAGUGAGGGUGGGAUAUUGCAUGUCCAUGGGAAUGCGAAGGACGCCGAGGAGGAAUUGUGGGCUAACCAUGUUUCAAAAUCGAUAUCUGAGUUUGCAAGAUGUGAGGGCCGUUGUUGGGGAGUUAUUAUUGAUCACGCGGAGAGAGUGAAAUGGUAUGCCCCACACAUACGCCAUCUUGUUGCUGAUGUUAGAUGCAGACAAAUCUAGCAUCACUU